GGGUCAGUAGGUUGGUCGUGCCACCGGUACGUACUGGUCUCACUGAUUCCUCCUUCCUGAAGAACCGUAAUGCCAUUAAUUUGGCGUCGCGGGGAAACAGGACUGUUACUUUGAAAAAAUUAGAGUGUUUAAAGCAAGCUAACGCUUGAAUACAUAGCAUGGAAUAAUGAAAUAGGACGAUCGAUCCUAUUUUGUUGGUUUCUAGGAUUGACGUA
rnacentral:rRNA from 1 species